CCAGAUUUCGUUUAAUACUUCACGACCGCGGAAGAAGGGAUGUGUUUACAUUGAAGGAAUUGGGCUAAGCUAUACGAUCGCGAAUGAAUCUAUGCGAUCGCAUAGAACAAAAAGUGGGCACCUAAGACUUACACUGUGCGAUAGAGGAUGCUCCGAUGCGUUCGCAUAGAACAACAUACCAUAUCAUCAGAACUAAACUUUAUGAAAUAUUUCUAAGUUUGAAAUCAUUCCGAAACACUCCCGCGCCCUCGAGGCUCCUUACCAACACAUAAACUAACUCAACAUCAUCCUACGAACUUAACCG
rnacentral:lncRNA from 1 species